UCAGUUGACGCACCGCUCAAGCCAUACCCCCUCCUCCGAUCAGCACAGAGUACCUGAGAUCUCCGAGACUUCAAACAUACAAAGAAUGGGUCGUGGAGUCAGUAGUGGAGGCGGGCAGAGUUCUCUAGGCUACCUUUUCGGGAGUGGCGAGGCUCCCAAACCCGCUGAGAACAAUGAACCUGCUAAGCUGCGUGCCCCUUCUCCUCCAGUUGAUAAGAGCAAGCAGAAUCCAGCAGGCAUCCAUGGGAAUCCCGCAAACAACUACUUCCGUGCAGAUGGCCAGAACAGCGGCAACUUCAUUACUGAAAGGCCUUCGACCAAAGUGCAUGCUGCUCCAGGUGGUUGCUCCUCCCUUGGUUACCUUUUCGGUAACGCUGGCAACUGAUGCUCUCGAAGAAAAUGUGAAAUUGAAGAAUGUUGUUACUGGAUCUAUAAUCAGAGUUUGAUGAAGAACAUAUUUACAGAUUGUUGUCGAUUAGGUGUCCUAUGCUAUACUUAAAUAUUGAGUUGCUUUAACGACAAUUGAUUUGUAU
rnacentral:misc_RNA from 1 species